CACCCCAGCAAAUGGAUGAGCAUCUCUGGGGAUGUGGCUGGCAAUCUUAAUUUUAACGAGCUUUCCAGGUGAUUCUGAUGCACACAAAAGUGAGAACCUCUGUUUUCGAGGAUGAGGAGCCAUAUCAGGUUUCUGAGCAUUGAGAAGUUUGGGUUUUAAAAAGAUCUCUCUUACAGAAAUGUGGAAGUAGCAUUGGAAAGGACAAGCCUCGUGAUCAUCAUCAACUGGGAGACUAUUCCAACUGGCCGGAUGGGAAAUGAUGAAGGCCUAAGCAGGAUGGAAGUGGAGGAACUGGAGAGAAGAGGACAGAGGGGAGAGGUGAAAAAGGAAGACGUGGAGACCAGCUGGACUUAGGAGUCCUGGCCCUGCAUUCCAGGUACCCAGGAAUUCACGGAAGCCUUGCCAGGCAGCUGGUGGGUGUGGAGCUGCUUUUCUGAAACAGGCAAGCUUUCUGUGUCUGCCUGAAGUAGUGGGUCGCAUAAUAGCUGUCUCAGUCCUGCUGUCGACUUUUCUCCUGCUCUCAAGGUCUUGUGCUUCCUGCCAAUCAGCAAGAACAAAGAGAUCUCAGACCCCUGAAGGGCCCGCAGCUUAUCUUUCAGUUUGUAAUCGGAAGGACACCACCACUACCACCAGUAAAAUCACUUCAAAAUUAAAUACUAUGGAAAAAAUGUGUAAUUGUAGUCUGAAUAAACUGUACUUUGAAUAGAUAAUUACUGGAAGCAUGUUUGCUCUCCCUGUGAAGAGUGUCAAUAUUUGUCUAAGUGUCACGUGGCUAAGCCCCACGGAGAAAAGCCUACUUCAGUCCCGGACGAUGGGUGGGCAGAUGUCUGGCCUGAACCUGCUCUGUCUAGCAGUUGGCCAGUCUUACUAGUCCUCCCAUCAUCCCUCCACAGCCUGAACCCCAGGCCAGUGGAGGCUCAGCUGCGCUGUGGUACUGCUGGCAUCCAGGGGACAGAUGACACAAGACAGAUCCACAAAUGCCAGCAGACCAACCCUACGUGAGCCGUGUCUCCUCACAGCAGGCUGUCUGGGCUCCCAGGGCACUGAGCACCAUGGUCACAGUUUCUGCUCAGGGCAUCACUGAUUUUUCCCUGAUGGCAUCAUUGCUUCACUGCAGUGGGAGUCCUCUUGUCCACUUGAAUCUCUUUUGAGAUUCGAAUCCCCAUAGUAUCAGCAUGUUUUCUCUAACCUCCCUCCUUUUGUCCUCUCCCCCAGUUCCAGAAGGAUAACCUGGUUCUAAGACGGGAGAGGUGUUGGGAGGUGGGAGGUUGAGCAUGUGGAAAAGCCAUCACCUAAAGUACCAUCUUCUUGUUCUUCUUUUUUUUUUUUUUUGGUGAGGAAGAUUGGGCCUGAGCUAACAUCUGUUGCCAGUCUUUCUCUUUUUGCUUCAGGAAGAUUGUUGCUGUGCUCACAUCUGUGCCAGUCUUCCUCUAGUUUAUGUGGGAUGCUGCCACAGCAUGGCUCAAUGAGUGGUUCUAGGUCUGCGCCCGGGAUCCGAACCUGUGAACCCCAGGCCACUGAAGUGGAGCGUGCGCACUCAACCACUCCACCACCGGGCCAGCGCCUGAAGUCCAUCUUCUUUAGAUAUCUCACGGUCUGACCAGUGAUGGCCAAAUCUCAUACUUCACACCUGUUUUCUGUAAUGCUUUUUCCCCAUCACAGCCUUCAUAACUUAGUGUUUUGAAAACUGUUGAGAAAUGCGGCUUUUGGUGACUGUGCUGAGAGUGAUUAUGACCCUUGUUUCUCCUCCCAAAUAACUAGGGGCCGCCCAGAAACAUCAGUUCCCAUGGCGUCUAGACUUAUAAUUACGAGUGCCAACUCCGUCUUGAGUUUUCCUGUGCCUUUUCCUUCUUCUGGGAGGACCCGAACCGUCUAGAGCACUUCGAGGCCUGGGCUCGCCUCGCUCUGGGUCUCCGAAUCCUGGUCAGAGUCUGAGCACUGGGCUCCUGGGGUUCCCAGCCAGACAUAAUAUUUCACCUCUACAGGCUUUAGGCAUUCUAGCGACUGUAUUUUGGGAACCCCAAGUCAGAGUAAAUAUCUGACAUGUUUAAAUAGACUUAUGGGAUCUAUAUAAUAAAAUAUCUCCAAUGAGCA
rnacentral:lncRNA from 1 species